CCUACGGGAGGCAGCAGUGAGGAAUAUUGGUCAAUGGCCGUAAGGCUGAACCAGCCAAGUCGCGUGAAGGAAGAAGGAUCUAUGGUUUGUAAACUUCUUUUAUAGGGGAAUUAAUGUAUCCACGUGUGGAUAUUUGCAUGUACCCUAUGAAUAAGCAUCGGCUAACUCCGUGCCAGCAGCCGCGGUAAUACGGAGGAUGCGAGCGUUAUCCGGAUUUAUUGGGUUUAAAGGGUGCGUAGGUUGUUGUUUAGGUCAGCGGGGAAAGUUUGUGGCUCAACCAUAAAAUUGCCGUUGAAACUGGAAGACUAGAGUGUGUUUGAGGUAGGCGGAAUGCGUGGUGUAGCGGUGAAAUGCAUAGAUAUCACGAAGAAAACCGAUUGCGAAGGCAGCUUACUAAGCCAUAACUGACACUGAAGCACGAAAGCGUGGGGAUCAAACAGGAUUAGAUACCCGGGUAGUC
rnacentral:rRNA from 1 species